rnacentral:rRNA from 1 species
AGAGUUUGAUCAUGGCUCAGGACGAACGCUGGCGGCGUGCUUAACACAUGCAAGUCGAACGGAAAGGCCCUUCGGGGUACUCGAGUGGCGAACGGGUGAGUAACACGUGGGUGAUCUGCCCUGCACUUUGGGAUAAGCCUGGGAAACUGGGUCUAAUACCGAAUAUGACCACGCUCUUCAUGGGGUGUGGUGGAAAGCUUUUGCGGUGUGGGAUGGGCCCGCGGCCUAUCAGCUUGUUGGUGGGGUAAUGGCCUACCAAGGCGACGACGGGUAGCCGGCCUGAGAGGGUGACCGGCCACACUGGGACUGAGAUACGGCCCAGACUCCUACGGGAGGCAGCAGUGGGGAAUAUUGCACAAUGGGCGCAAGCCUGAUGCAGCGACGCCGCGUGAGGGAUGACGGCCUUCGGGUUGUAAACCUCUUUCACCAGGGACGAAGCGCAAGUGACGGUACCUGGAGAAGAAGCACCGGCCAACUACGUGCCAGCAGCCGCGGUAAUACGUAGGGUGCGAGCGUUGUCCGGAAUUACUGGGCGUAAAGAGCUCGUAGGUGGUUUGUCGCGUUGUUCGUGAAAACUCACAGCUUAACUGUGGGCGUGCGGGCGAUACGGGCAGACUAGAGUACUGCAGGGGAGACUGGAAUUCCUGGUGUAGUGGUGGAAUGCGCAGAUAUCAGGAGGAACACCGGUGGCGAAGGCGGGUCUCUGGGCAGUAACUGACGCUGAGGAGCGAAAGCGUGGGGAGCGAACAGGAUUAGAUACCCUGGUAGUCCAA